AUAUUGACUUUGAUGGAGAGAGUAGAAGUUUGAUUGUUUCAUAGAGAGAGAAAAUUACAGCUGAAAAUUUUCUUAAAUUAAUCGUGUUUUGAAGUUCACUCCGGAGUCCCAAGUGUGAACAAGAGUAGCAGUUGGCGUAUUAGAUCGUUAAAUCUAUUUAAGAGGAUAUUUAAAAAAUAUCAAUUUGGGUGGUACCACGGAUAGUUAUAGUUCGUCCUAUGU
rnacentral:ncRNA from 1 species